rnacentral:rRNA from 1 species
CCGCUAAACCCCCCCUUUUACAAGGUUGACCUCGGAUCAGGUAGGAAUACCCGCUGAACUUAAGCAUAUCAAUAAGCGGAGGAAAAGAAACCAACAGGGAUUGCCCUAGUAACGGCGAGUGAAGCGGCAACAGCUCAAAUUUGAAAUCUGGCCCUAGGCCCGAGUUGUAAUUUGCAGAGGAUGCUUUUGGCGAAGUGCUUACCGAGUCCCCUGGAAUGGGGCGCCACAGAGGGUGAGAGCCCCGUAUGGUUUGACACUGAACCUUUGUAAAGCUCCUUCGACGAGUCGAGUAGUUUGGGAAUGCUGCUCUAAAUGGGAGGUAAAUUUCUUCUAAAGCUAAAUAUUGGCCAGAGACCGAUAGCGCACAAGUAGAGUGAUCGAAAGAUGAAAAGCACUUUGAAAAGAGGGUUAAAUAGCACGUGAAAUUGUUGAAAGGGAAGCGCUUGUGACCAGACUUGUGCCGGGCGGAUCAUCCAGCGUUCUCGCUGGUGCACUCUGCCCGGCUCAGGCCAGCAUCGGUUUUCGCCGGGGGACAAAAGCUUCAGGAACGUAGCUCCCUCCGGGGAGUGUUAUAGCCUGUUGCAUAAUAUCCCGGCGGGGACCGAGGACCGCGCUUCGGCAAGGAUGCUGGCGUAAUGGUCAUCAGCGACCCGUCUUGAAACACGGACCGAGGAGUCAAGCAUUAGUGCGAGUGUUUGGGUGUAAAACCCGCACGCGUAAUGAAAGUAAACGUAGGUGAGAGCUUCGGCGCAUCAUCGACCGAUCCUGAUGUUUUCGGAUGGAUUUGAGUAGGAGCAUUAACGCUUGGACCCGAAAGAUGGUGAACUAUACUUGAAUAGGGUGAAGCCAGAGGAAACUCUGGUGGAGGCUCGCAGCGGUUCUGACGUGCAAAUCGAUCGUCAAAUUUGAGUAUAGGGGCGAAAGACUAAUCGAACCAUCUAGUAGCUGGUUACCGCCG